UGCUGGAGGAAUUUUGAAGCAGUUAAAACGUGGAAUGUUUGCGGGGGGAUUUUCACAACAGGUCAGGUCCCACCAUGGGGAAAUCCAGGUGGAUCUGGGGAGGCAUUUCAGGACCUGGCCUUCACCCCACGCUUCUCAAGAACCCAAACCUCCCCCGGGAUCCUUCCCAGCUCCUCUCCGGGGCUCCCCUGCCCUGGGAACGCUCCCGGCUGACUCGGCAGGUGAAGCAGCACGGCGGCGGCAGGGGCGGCUGCAGGGGAGGGCACGGCACCGGAGCGAGCUCCACACGACUGGGGUGGGAUCCAUGGGAUCCAUGGGAUCCAUGGGAUGGGAUUGGGAUCCUUGGGAUGGGAUCCAUGGGAUAGGAUCCAUGGGAUGGGAUUGGGAUCCUUGGGAUGGGAUCCAUGGGAUGGGAUGGGAUGGAAUCCAUGGGAUGGGAUCAGUGGGAUGGGAUGGGAUCCAUGGGAUGGGAUCCAUGGGAUGGGAUCGAUGGGAUGGGAUCCAUGGGAUGGGAUCCAUGGGAUGGGAUCCAUGGGAUGGGAUCCAUGGGAUGGGAUUGGCAUCCUUGGGAUGGGAUCCGUGGGAUCCAUGGGAUGGGAUCAGUGGGAUGGGAUCCGUGGGAUCCAUGGGAUGGGAUCAGUGGGAUGGGAUCCAUGGGAUGGGAUCCAUGGGAUGGGAUGGGAUUGGGAUGGGAUGGGAUGGAUGGAUGGAUGGAUGGAUGGAUGGAUGGAUGGAUGGGGCAGCCAGACAGGGCAGAUUCCAGCCCAGAGGAUCCAGGCAGGGUGAGUUCCAGCCCAGGAGGAGCCGAGCACGUCCUCGGGGACAGCCAAGGGACAGGCAGGGGACACCGCGGGGCUCUUCCCCCCGACCCCCCCACGGUGGUGGAAUGCUGCGCUCCCAGGCCGGAGGAUUCCUGGGAGCUGCCGCCGGCCCGGCUGGAGCGGAUCCCUCCUGCUUGUGGUUUGCUAUAGGAACACGGAGCUGGCUGGAGAUGAAUCAGCACCGUUCCCCUGGGCCCUUGCCCCUGCUGAACCCUCUCUGUGCUCACGGGAACUCGCUUUCUCC
rnacentral:lncRNA from 1 species